rnacentral:lncRNA from 1 species
CACGAGGUGAUCUAAGGGCAUCAUUGUUGUUGAUAUUUUUAUACUUGAGGUCUAAAGUUGAUGGGUUUAACUGUAUUUUAUGUCGACCAUAAACUUGUUUGUCAAUUUCGCUCGGCGGUUGACAUAAAACCUGAUGCCAGUUUGCUAUUUCGGUUGCAAGAACAUUCCUCAAUGCAGGAGUAAGCACUUUGGUCAAACAUACACCAAUGACAACCCAUCUUCUUUCAUCGUCCGUUAUCGAAGUUGAAGUGAAGGCAGUAGCCAUUACUGAUC